GAAUGAAUGUAAUGAUUAUCAUAACUAAAAUAGCCUUAGUACUUAGGUAAGUACUCUAUUUUUAGGAAAAAUAGGUAUAGUUAUCAGAAUUUGGACAAUGAUAUCAUGCAGAUCCGGUCUAAAAAUACAUGUUUUUAUUUUUAAAAGCACCUUUAAGCCAUGACUGAUCAAACGUAAUCAAAUAGCACGCAAAUUGAUAAGAGGUGGUAUAAAAUGCUGAAGAACUGAUCCAUAGCUAUACAAAUAUCUGAUCAUUUGUUCUGAACACAUCAAGGUGUUUACCAUUAUUCCCAAGAAAGUUUUACUACGUCAAAACAGAACUAUCCAACAUGCAGCGCCCAACAGCUUACCCGUGCUUCGGAGCCCCUGCCGGCUACAAAACCCAGAGCCCUGCCGUGAGCCCCAACCCCUGCUUCGGCCCGCCCAAGCCUGCCUACUGCCAGCCCAGCCCGUGUUUUGGACCUCCCAUGCCCGCCUUCCAGCCCAGUACUUGCUUUAUGCCAGCCUCGGCCAUCAGACAAAUGGCCAACCAGAGCCAGCAAAGAGGUCACUGGGCACCGACGUUUUACUGAGGCGAAGAAGACGUUUGGACCAUUCUGCGUAUUAUUCUUGUGACUCAGUUGCUAAAGUAUCUUGCUUUGUUUAGUAUCAGUCAAAGUUUCAGUAUACUUAGUAAGUUUGAGAAAGUCUUCAGUGGUGCGUAGUUAGUUUGAUUUAAGUGUAUGUUUAGUUGGAACGGAGUGUCUAGUUU